GGAACAUUAGAUUAUUUCCCAAUUUAUAAAUAUGCAGGGGAAAUUAUUUCAGAGGUUUCAUCUUAUUAUUUUGUUUGUUUGUACAAGAACAUGUUCCUGUGUUGAACUUACUAGACAGUUCUUCUGAACUAUAAACAGUCGAUAGUAGCUUGCAUCUAAUUUUAUGGUUGUCUCAUUUUUUUUUUGGGCAAUAAUUUAUUUC
rnacentral:misc_RNA from 1 species